rnacentral:rRNA from 1 species
GAUGAACGCUGGCGGCGUGCCUAAUACAUGCAAGUCGAGCGAACAGAUGAGGAGCUUGCUCCUCUGACGUUAGCGGCGGACGGGUGAGUAACACGUGGAUAACCUACCUAUAAGACUGGGAUAACUUCGGGAAACCGGAGCUAAUACCGGAUAAUAUAUUGAACCGCAUGGUUCAAUAGUGAAAGACGGUUUUGCUGUCACUUAUAGAUGGAUCCGCGCCGCAUUAGCUAGUUGGUAAGGUAACGGCUUACCAAGGCAACGAUGCGUAGCCGACCUGAGAGGGUGAUCGGCCACACUGGAACUGAGACACGGUCCAGACUCCUACGGGAGGCAGCAGUAGGGAAUCUUCCGCAAUGGGCGAAAGCCUGACGGAGCAACGCCGCGUGAGUGAUGAAGGUCUUCGGAUCGUAAAACGCUGUUAUUAGGGAAGAACAAAUGUGUAAGUAACUAUGCACGUCUGGACGGUACCUAAGCAGAAAGCCACGGCUAACUACGU